CUUAUUUUAGUGUAUAACUGGCACAUUAAGUUUUCUCCUUAAAAGAGUUCUAUUAGAACAAAUGAGA
rnacentral:tRNA from 1 species